UUUAAAGAGAGUUUGAUCCUGGCUCAGGACGAACGCUGGCGGCGUGCCUAAUACAUGCAAGUCGAACGAACGGAGGAAGAGCUUGCUCUUCCAAAGUUAGUGGCGGACGGGUGAGUAACACGUGGGCAACCUGCCUGUAAGUUGGGGAUAACUCCGGGAAACCGGGGCUAAUACCGAAUGAUAG
rnacentral:rRNA from 1 species